rnacentral:tRNA from 1 species
GCGCCGCUGCGCAGGCUGCGGCGCUCGCUCUUCGGCAGCAGGUAGGGGCCCGCGCUCGGGCGGUCACACCGCCCCUGGCGUC